rnacentral:tRNA from 1 species
GACGCCGUAGAUCGAGGUGCGGCCCAUGGUCGGCUUGAGCCCGGUCAGGUUCUGCUGGUUCGAUGGCAGCACGAUGCUGCC